AUUGAACGCUGGCGGCAUGCCUUACACAUGCAAGUCGAACGGUAACAGGUCUUCGGAUGCUGACGAGUGGCGAACGGGUGAGUAAUACAUCGGAACGUGCCCGAUCGUGGGGGAUAACGAGGCGAAAGCUUUGCUAAUACCUCAUACGAUCUACGGAUGAAAGCGGGGGAUCUUCGGACUUCGCGCGGACGGAGCGGCCGAUGGCAGAUUAGGUAGUUGGUGGGAUAAAAGCUUACCAAGCCGACGAUCUGUAGCUGGUCUGAGAGGAUGAUCAGCCACACUGGGACUGAGACACGGCCCAGACUCCUACGGGAGGCAGCAGUGGGGAAUUUUGGACAAUGGGCGAAAGCCUGAUCCAGCCAUGCCGCGUGCAGGAUGAAGGCCUUUGGGUUGUAAACUGCUUUUGUACGGAACGAAAAGCCUCUUUCUAAUAAAGAGGGGUCAUGACGGUACCGUAAGAAUAAGCACCGGCUAACUACGUG
rnacentral:rRNA from 1 species